rnacentral:rRNA from 1 species
UAGAGUUUGAUCCUGGCUCAGAACGAACGCUGGCGGCAGGCUUAACACAUGCAAGUCGAACGAUCCCUUCGGGGAUAGUGGCAGACGGGUGAGUAACGCGUGGGAACCUACCUUUAGGUACGGAACAACAGUUGGAAACGACUGCUAAUACCGUAUGUGCCCUAUGGGGGAAAGAUUUAUCGCCUAAGGAUGGGCCCGCGUUGGAUUAGCUAGUUGGUGGGGUAAUGGCCUACCAAGGCGACGAUCCAUAGCUGGUCUGAGAGGAUGAUCAGCCACACUGGGACUGAGACACGGCCCAGACUCCUACGGGAGGCAGCAGUGGGGAAUAUUGGACAAUGGGGGCAACCCUGAUCCAGCCAUGCCGCGUGAGUGAUGAAGGCCCUAGGGUUGUAAAGCUCUUUCAGCGAGGAGGAUAAUGACUA